rnacentral:misc_RNA from 1 species
GGUGAACCACUUGCUUAAUCCUCUACAACAAAUAGUAAAACAUGUCAUGUUCUACUUGAUCAAGGAUUAUACCCAGUUGAUCAGGGAUUCUCGAUCAAGAAAUCAAAUUGAGCAUCCUAAAACACCAUUUUUAAAGUCUACCUAAGUGAUCUAUGAAAUUAGUUCUAAAUAUGCACAAAGUAAUAUGCUUUAUAGAGAAAAAAAGAAAAUGGGUAAUCUAAAAAAUUUUCAGAAACACAAGAAGAAGAUAGUUACAAACCUUGUCUUCAUUGAAAAUCUGGAA